rnacentral:lncRNA from 1 species
ACAUGGCCAGGGGUCUGGUAGCAGAAAUCAGACCCCUGGUGGAGUAGGGGAGGAGAAGGAGUCCUGGGCAGACACAAAGAAUAUCCAUUCUAAUUCUCACCCACCCUUCUGAUUUUACAUUUAUUUUCCUAGAUAUUUUACUUAAUGGGAAAGUGAUGCCUUGUAUUACGGACCUGAGUAUUCCAGGUAUUGACAUGUAAGAAGACAUUAUGUUGGAUAAUAGGAAGAGCUGUAGAGUUUGCAGGUGUCAACCGUGGCCUUAAUAAGCACACUGAUAGCAUCAAUGCCAGACAGAUGGUCCUAUUACUGCUGGAUUGUGCAAGAUAUUUAACACUCUUUUCUUUGAGGUAUGACUUAAAUAUCAAACAUCUUAAAUAAGAAAAGGGAAACA